rnacentral:ncRNA from 1 species
AAAGCCCAAAUUUGUAAUCUGGCACUUUUUACAAGUGUCCGAGUUGUAAUUUGUAGAACUGUUAUCCGCGCUGGACCAUGUACAAGUCUGUUGAAAAGCAGCAUCAUUGAAGGUGAAAAUCCUGUAGAUGAUAUGGACUACCAGUGCAUUUGUGAUACGGUUUCUAAGAGUCGAGUUGUUUGGGAAUGCAGCUCAAAGUGGGUGGUAAAUUCCAUCUAAGGCUAAAUAUAAGUGAGAGACCGAUAGCAAACAAGUACCGUGAGG